AUAAAGUGGCUCCGGCAGCCGUUAAGCCCCGGGACGGCGAGGCAGGCGCUCAGAGCCCCGCAGCCUGGCCCGCGACCCCGCAGCGACGCUGAGGACCGCGACGAGUCGUGUCUGGAACCCGGCUGUUCCAAUUGGCCUGCUCCAUCCCAACAGCGUCAACGUGAGUGAAUUUGCCCGAAGCUUGUCUUUGCUGGCGGGUUUGGGGACGUCUGCCCGCCCUCUUUCCCUUCACAUUUCAUUGCAUGGGUUCCCCAACAGCGUUCCCUGGUUCUUCUUUGUGACCCCAGUCAAUGUCCUGCCUCCCCCGGUUCCCGCUCUCUCGCCCCUGGUCUGCGGCGUUCUCUCCGGAAUCUUGCCCUGGGCCGCGGACGCCCAGGAAAAGAGCCGGGUGCCCCAGGCAGCCUCGCGUUGGGGGCGACCGCGCCAUCCCGGGAGCCGCGAGGCGAUCUGAGUCGCCUCCAGGUCUACCUAAAAGCUGUCGGCCGGGAGGGCGGGGCCCCAGAAAGGAGCAUUCCUGCGGGCUUUUGCUCGACGAUCCCCUGCUGAGGCAGUCGCGGCGAGGGUCCUGCCGAGGGACC
rnacentral:sRNA from 1 species